AUGUAAUAAAGACACAGAAUUUUACACUCCUCUGUAACCAUGCAUAUAUAUAUUGUGAACACCGAGCGUGGCCACCGUAAUGUUCAUCUUGCAUAUUGUAAUUUAUAAAACGAAUCGCGGUGGUUCGCGAUAAAUCGAUCGCCUUGUAUAAACGGUAGGUAUACGCGUCAGCGGAAUAAUAUCCGAAACAAGGAAUACAACGAGGACGGAGAAA